rnacentral:rRNA from 1 species
GACGAACGCUGGCGGCGUGCUUAACACAUGCAAGUCGAACGGUGAAGCCCUUCGGGGUGGAUCAGUGGCGAACGGGUGAGUAACACGUGAGCAACCUGCCCCUGGCUCUGGGACAACCACUGGAAACGGUGGCUAAUACCGGAUACGACCCGCCUCGGCAUCGAGUGCGGGUGGAAAGUUUUUCGGCUGGGGAUGGGCUCGCGGCCUAUCAGCUUGUUGGUGAGGUGAAGGCUCACCAAGGCGACGACGGGUAGCCGGCCUGAGAGGGCGACCGGCCACACUGGGACUGAGACACGGCCCAGACUCCUACGGGAGGCAGCAGUGGGGAAUAUUGCACAAUGGGCGAAAGCCUGAUGCAGCGACGCCGCGUGAGGGAUGACGGCCUUCGGGUUGUAAACCUCUUUCAGCUCCGAAGAAGCGAAAGUGACGGUAGGAGCAGAAGAAGCACCGGCUAACUACGUG